CUAUAGCUUGCUAUAAAAAUAAUUAGUGGCAGACGGGUGAGUAAUGCAUAGGAAUCUACCUAGUAGUAUGGGAUAGCCUCUAGAAAUGGUGGGUAAUACUGUAUAAUCCCUGCGGGGGGAAGAUUUAUCGCUACUAGAUGAGCCUAUGUUAGAUUAGCUAGUUGGUGGGGUAAAGGCCUACCAAGGCUGUGAUCUAUAGCUGGUCUGAGAGGAUGAUCAGCCACACUGGAACUGAGAUACGGUCCAGACUCCUACGGGAGGCAGCAGUGGGGAAUAUUGGACAAUGGGCGCAAGCCUGAUCCAGCUAUGCCGCGUGAGUGAGGAAGGCCUUAGGGUUGUAAAACUCUUUCAGUGGGGAAGAUAAUGACGGUACCCGCAUAAGAAGUCCCGGCGAACUCCGUGCCAGCGAGCCGCGGUAAUACGGAGGGGGGGAGCGUUGUUCGGAAUUAUUGGGCGUAAAGGGCAUGUAGGCGGUUCGGUAAGUUAAAGGUGAAAUGCCAGGGCUUAACCCUGGAGCUGUA
rnacentral:rRNA from 1 species